UCUAUUUAAGACGAUGAUAGAGCUUAAGUUUAUCCUCAAAACUACUUGAUCUUAUCUGAGCAGUGGGCGGCGGAGAAGACGGCGACGGAGAAUGUAACCGGCGUAGUUGGGGAGGAGCUACCGCCUUAUAUAUGUAGGGUUAAUGGCGGCUCCGUUCAUCUCUUUCUCGCCGGACAAUUUUCCGGAACCCCUUUUCCCUGCUUUACUGCUAUGAAGACUGUUCGCCAUCUGAGCCUAUCAAAUAAAUCGGGGCGAUGACGGUUUGAGCGGACUUUCCUAUAAAAAAAAGUUUUAAUUUUUAUGUAAUUUAAGUAUUUUUGUUUCAAAUUGUUGAAGAACAGAGAUCCAGAUUUCAUAAAGUUUUUAUUUUUAUGUCCUAUUUCGUUGAGUUCAUGCAUUUCUCUUGAUUAAGUUUGUUAUAUUUGAAUCUAACCUUCCGUUUGGCUAUAGAUUUUGAAAUUUGAGUUUUUGAAGUUAUGUUUGAACAUAAAUUUUACUCGAAAAAAUUUGAAUUUGCUAUAGCAUCAGAGCCUCUUGUAUUCAGAUCUGAAAUGUUGCUUCUUACUUGUGAACACUUCUUAUAUUUGUGGGGAUGUUCCUGUUUCGGAAGCAUAUAUUAAUUCUUUUGCCAGUUUUAAACAGCGUGAUGAAUAUUUCAUUUUUGCAGCGCGCUACCUGUCUUCUGGUACAAACUCAUGUAAUCUAUGCAAUGAUAUGCUAAUCUGUGUCUUUAACUGUAUCCAUUUAAAGAUAUGGAAGACUAUAGUAUUUGACAGCUCUAGGACAUCUAAAUUUGAUAUGGUAUGUGUUAUGGGGUUGGGAGCAGGGUAGAACUAUGUCAUUUUAUCUCUAUUGUGCAACUUGGAAGAGGCUAUGGCUUUGUAUUUGGUUGAUUCUGCCUGAAAAGUGUCCAACUUUUGAUGUCUUUUAUGCCUUUUGGGUUGUCCUCUUUUCCCUUUGUGACAGUAUAGCUAUUGGAUGUCACAAAUGACAGAUUUUUGCUCUUGACUUAGCCCUUGCAUGUGAACUGGAAAUUGAGUUUGAAGCUUUAGUAGAUGCAGGUCAUGGCUAAAGGCUGUUGAAACAAGGCCUUCCUUUGAUUGCGAGUGUAGAGUCUAUGCCAACCUUACCCCCUAGGUUGGGGUUCGGGGAGUGUAGAGUGUAUGCAGUUCUUUCCCUCUGCCUUGAGAAGGUAGAGAGUCUGAACGAAGACAAUACAGACUAUGCCUUGAUGCAAAACUAGUUGGAUUUCCCUCAAUGCUGUGUUUCAUUGAGGUCCAUGUCUUCCUUGGAAAUGGAAUGUGCACAGUUUCUAUUAUUUGUCUCUCUUAGUGUAGUCAGUGUCAAGAUUGGCUACUGAUAUGUUGUAGCAUUUGAUACAUACUUGUAGUUGCUAAAAUAUUUUUAUACUAUGAAUUCGAAAAUUGGGAGCUGUAA